rnacentral:rRNA from 1 species
AUGUAUUUUGUACGGUUGUUCUAGUUUUGUAACUAAAAGGGUUUGGCAGUGAGCGAUUCUUAUUAGGGGAAGAUGCAUAGUGAAGGAUGGUCCACCUAUUAGUUUACUCUUGUUAUGUUGGUGUAUAUCUGGUUUAAUAUUAUUGUUGAAUAAUUUAAGUUUGUGUAGGUUUAAUUAAGCUAAGUCUAUGUGCUGCUUAUGAGAGUUUUUGUGUGUUACAUUAAUAAGGGUGUUUUUGUAAUAGAAUAUUAUUUAGGACUUAAUAGUAAUGUUUAAAUGAGUUUGUUGAUGUGAAGAGAGUUUAGCUCAGGUACACACCGCCCGUCACCCUCGGUU